rnacentral:rRNA from 1 species
ACGGAAGGCAGCAGUGGGGAAUAUUGGGCAAUGGGGGCAACCCUGACCCAGCAACGCCGCGUGAAGGAAGAAGGCUUUCGGGUUGUAAACUUCUUUUACCAGGGACGAAGAAAGUGACGGUACCUGGAGAAAAAGCUACGGCUAACUACGUGCCAGCAGCCGCGAUAAUACGUAGGUAGCAAGCGUUGUCCGGAUUUACUGGGUGUAAAGGGCGUGUAGGCGGAGAUGCAAGUCAGGAGUGAAAUCUAUGGGCUUAACCCAUAAACUGCUUUUGAAACUGCAUCCCUUGAGUAUCGGAGAGGCAGGCGGAAUUCCUAGUGUAGCGGUGAAAUGCGUAGAUAUUAGGAGGAACACCAGUGGCGAAGGCGGCCUGCUGGACGACAACUGACGCUGAGGCGCGAAAGCGUGGGGAGCAAACAGGAUUAGAUACCCUGGUA